AAAAUAUUAAGGGAAAGGAGAGAGAAAAUAGAUCUCAUCUUCAUCUUCAUUCUUUGUUCAAGAACUCCAUAGCCAAGUUCUUCACCAAGUUCUUCCAUCCUAGGAUCUUUGGUGGAAAUUUGGAGGGGAGGAUCACAACACUUUCUACGGUUUUAAAAGCUACUUGGGAGUUGCAGAUUAGUGUGGGCCCCUGUAGCCGCUGAGCUCGGAAUAGAAGG